rnacentral:lncRNA from 1 species
AGCUGAUUUUUUUAUAUAGUUGAUCCAACCUAGUUCAUGUGUACUCUUAAAGAGAAAAAAGAUGGAACAGUUAUAUGAUUUUGGUAUUUUGGAUCUCAAACAUUGCGUCUUGGUUCUUUUGAUCCAUGGCUAAAUAUUCUCCCACACAUCACGUGCUUGUAAUUGAACUUGAAAUGGGUUAUACCUUUUUGCACAGCACUCUAGCUAUAUACUUCUUCUAGGGCCCUUUUUUGUUGCCCUGAAGUAAAACUUUCUCUAGGGCUUUCAAAGGGAAAGAAAAAUCACACAUAAAUAGAGUAAUUUUUUGGCUUUAAAAACUGAGUGUUGCUUAAAAAUUUGAACUACCAACUGCUGUUAAAUAUUCAUUAAUUUGAAAAUUAUGGCUCUCUCAAGCAUUUCUCAGGCACUUUGUACUAAAAGUGUCUUUUUUUAAUAUUUUUUUUGUGAAAGAUGCUGAAAUCACCACUUAUCCUAUAAGCUUAAGCUGAUAGGAUGAGAUAGAUUUAUUUAUAUAUUUAUAUUUUCUUACACUCCCCUUUACAUAUAGGCC